CGGCCCGACAUAAGCGCUCCCGACCCAGGCUGACCCACUAUCAGCGCUCCCGGUCCCCACGGUGUCCCGAUUCAACCCCCGCUCCCGGUCCCCCCGCCCCACCGGGGGGCUCCGUCCUGCCGCCCGCGGGCGCUCCGGGCCGGGGGAAGCGGCGGGGCUCAGUGCCCCCGGCAGCGGUCGGGCGCUGACUGCUGCCUUUAAUGGAGUGCCAAGGGUGUCCCCUCCUCCCAGCCCAGCCUGGACGAAACAGGGCUAUGCGUGCUGCCAACCGUGCCUAAAGGAGCUCAGGGGUAACCUGGCACGCACCGCUCUUUGGACAGCUUUCAGCUGCUGUUCUCGUGGGCUCUGCGGAUGUUUUGUAUUGCACUACCGAAGCGACACCUGAGGGG
ensembl:lncRNA